GGCUUAGAACUAACGCUGGCAGUGCGUCUAAAGCAUGCAAGUCAAACGGGAUGUAGCAAUACAUUCAGUGGCGAACGGGUGAGUAACGCGUGGAUGAUCUACCUAUGAGAUGGGGAUAACUAUUAGAAAUAGUAGCUAAUACCGAAUAAAGUCAAUUAAUUUGUUAAUUGAUCAAAGGAAGCCUUUAAAGCUUCGCUUGUAGAUGAGUCUGCGUCUUAUUAGCUAGUUGGUAGGGUAAAUGCCUACCAAGGCGAUGAUAAGUAACCGGCCUGAGAGGGUGAACGGUCACACUGGAACUGAGAUACGGUCCAGACUCCUACGGGAGGCAGCAGCUAAGAAUCUUCCGCAAUGGGCGAAAGCCUGACGGAGCGACACUGCGUGAAUGAAGAAGGUCGAAAGAUUGUAAAAUUCUUUUAUAAAUGAGGAAUAAGCUUUGUAGGAAAUGACAAACUGAUGACGUUAAUUUAUGAAUAAGCCCCGGCUAAUUACGUGCCAGCAGCCGCGGUAAUACGUA
rnacentral:rRNA from 1 species